rnacentral:rRNA from 1 species
CCUACGGGAGGCAGCAGUGGGGAAUUUUGGACAAUGGGCGCAAGCCUGAUCCAGCAAUGCCGCGUGCAGGAUGAAGGCCUUCGGGUUGUAAACUGCUUUUGUACGGAACGAAACGGUGAGCUCUAAUACAGUUUGCUAAUGACGGUACCGUAAGAAUAAGCACCGGCUAACUACGUGCCAGCAGCCGCGGUAAUACGUAGGGUGCGAGCGUUAAUCGGAAUUACUGGGCGUAAAGCGUGCGCAGGCGGUGAUGUAAGACAGAUGUGAAAUGCCCGGGCUCAACCUGGGACCUGCAUUUGUGACUGCAUCGCUAGAGUACGGUAGAGGGGGAUGGAAUUCCGCGUGUAGCAGUGAAAUGCGUAGAUAUGCGGAGGAACACCGAUGGCGAAGGCAAUCCCCUGGACCUGUACUGACGCUCAUGCACGAGGACGGUGGGGAGGACGAAACAAGGAGUAGUAUACCUACGGUAGGUACCGACCGACCCGUAAACCGAACUAGUCUAACUAGGUUGGUUGGGUUCGUUC